CAAAGGGCAGUAAGCAUUAAGUGUUAGUUAUCAAAUAUAGUGUCUUUGAAACAUCAACAAUACUAUUUGUAGAGGAAAAGUCAUAAUAUAGAGACUUUCUGCUUUGAAAAUAAUCUCAUAAAAUUAAAUGUUCAACAGAUGGUUAUCAAUAAAAUGAGAAGUUCCUUUGAAUGAAGAAAAGUCACCUUUACCUGCAGGUGGAUUUCAGCGUCACCUGCUCCAUUUUCAGCAAGUGGCUCAUUUGCCUUUUCUUUCCCAACUCUUUAUAUAAAAAAGUGAGAAUUAAAUUCUACUUUUUUUUUUUUUUUUUUUAAAUCUCAGGUAUCACCCCUCAAAAUCACCUGAAAGCUGCAAAAGCAUAAAUAUAUUUGUCAUUGUCCUAUCAAACUUCACAAUCUCCCAGCUUUGCUUCACUACCUCAGUUGAGCGAUGUCAUAUUGAUGCCAUUAAAAGAAGUUGUGCAGUUAGGGUGUUUUUUCCUGUUCUCAUAAUUAUCCUCUUUUUCAAUUUACAAAAAUAUUUCAUUAGACUCUUUGUACUACAGCUUUUUGUAUUGUGAUCAAUGUCAGUAGACAACUCUGCCUUUUUUUAAUUACUGAACUGGGUGAUUAGAGUUAAUAAGCUAUGAGAUGUAAAUACUGCCAUUUCAAAUAAACAAGAAAGCACUUAGAAACCAAAACAAAGCCUUUCACUGAACUCAGGCACAACAUCCUCUGAGAGAUGUGUGGCAUGAGUGAUUCAGUAUAUUACUUGCUGUAAAGAAGGAUGCACCUUGUUACUUUAAACAGCAAAAUCCAGCAGCAAGUUUUCAGGGUUUGAGAUAUUCUUUUAAAAGGUGCAGUUUAAAAACUACCGUAUUUUCAGAUCACAAAGGUCUUUUGUUUAUAUUUUCUACUUUCCAACCAAAGAGACAGUCAUUCUCUCAUAAAAAUAUUUUACAAGAACAGCUUUGGUUUUUACUUUUCUUCUGUAAAGCACACUCCCCCCUGCUCUCAAAGGCAGCAGGUUUCCACAGAGCUAUCCACUGGUGCUGUUACAAAGCAGAAAACCUUUCUGUGUGUAUGUAGUCUGUAACAGUCAAGAUAUGGCAUAUAUAAACUUGGAGUUUGGGUUCAAAACUAAGAAAAUCUGGUUUUUAGAACAGUAGGUGCAUGUUGGUAUAACAAGGAAAUUUCCUUCUACCUUAUGGAUACUAAUAUUUCUUCCUGCAAAUUCUGCAAAUAUGGAUGGCAAGAUCCAUAUACUUAUGUCCUUGUGCAUCACUAAUAACUUUACUGGCUUGUUUUUAAAUCAGUUAUGUAUAUUGAGUAAGAGUUAGUUAGUUGUAAGAUGUAUCCAUUUUUGCAGUUUCUGAUGAGCUUUCCAUUAAUGUCCUUAAUGCCUAUUUUUACUCUUUUCAGCAGGUACCUAUUAACAUUGCAGUGUUUUGUAAACUCAAUAAUAAAGAAAAUAUGUUAUGAUCAUAAAACAGGGGAAAUGGUGCCUAAUUGCAGCCAGGAUAAACUGCACUUAAUAUCUGUUGUCAACAAAGCAAUUUGCCUGACGAUAUCUUUAAAUCCUUUCCUUAAAUUGUUUCUAGCACAAAUUAUUUUAAAUGGUUACUUUCAAGAGCCCAUUCCAAAGAGCUGCCUUUAAAAAUAAAUAAAUAAAUAAAUAAAUAAAUAUGAAAAGCACCCCAACAAUUAGGUAGGUCCGUGUUAGCAGGCUGAGGAUUUAUUUAGUUGUUUUUCGUGGAGGUCUCUGCGCUCACUUUGCCGAGGCUGCAGCAAUACCCUGAGAGCAGCGAGCGCUGUGUGAUUCCAUUAGCGCGGCUGCCCAGUGCUCUACAAGGUUACCUGGCUGCUGCCCCGGGCACUCCUGGCACCCACAGUGCGCUGGGACAAGGACCUGCUCCUUCCCUGCAGCCUCUGGAUGAGGGGCAGGGCCCCCAGGAGCUGGUGCCGGUGCAGUGCAUGGUUCUGGCAGUGCAUGGUUCUGGCAGUGCUUCCCCGCUGUCGUGGGUCCCUCCUUGGACUGCGGCUCUGGAUCUCAAGGGCUGCAGCUUCACUCUUGCAAUUGGGGAGUUUUCAUUUCUACCCUUCUUAAAUCUUUCUGCAUUGAGAUUUCAAGUCAAAUGUGUUUCAGCACACUUUUCCUGAGAAGGCAGAUUUACAUAUGCAUUAGGUUCAUUUUAUCGGAGUACACACACAGCAAUGACACAUCUCAUUGACAAUGUGCUGUCUGAUGGAUAACUCCGUACAAAACACAUAUUUGAAAGGAAAAUUGGAGGAGGAAUAGGAUUAAGAGUCUGUACAUAAGUGACAUCAUGUUUUGUGAAGAUGAACUGCAGGAAUGUCUUGCCCUACUGCAUAGUCUUGGAUUAUUCAAAGAUCCAACAAGUGUUUUGUGAGUGUAAAAAACUCCUUGCUGCCCACCAUCAUCAGGCAGAAACUGCUGGGACCAAGUCUGGCCAUAUCUGAAGCCACUAUAUGCUUUAUUUAAUAAUGAAAAUACUAAAAAAGCUUAACCAAACUUUGAUUUUCAGUGCCACAUUGCCGCAUGGGACUAACUCCAUGUCCAGGCACGGCAGGAUUGUGGCUCUUUCUCUUCAAAGGGGAAGACGAAUUGCUUCUGGGAUUUAUCACCAUCACCAAGGAUGAAUGGGGCAGCACCACCUCCAAAGCCCAGAACUGCAACCCUGAAAAUCCGUGGCAUCAAGCUCAGCAACCUUUUCAGGCUUUUCUUGGACUGGUCACGCAGGAUGUUCUCUUGUUUAUUUUUCUGCUGAAGGAAGAUGUUACCCAUCCUGUGCCAAACCUACAAAAUAAAAAUGUCUGAUUAAUUUCA